CUCUUCCUCCGCCUGGAGUCUGCUCUCCUGGCCGCGCCGCAGCGCCUCCUCCAGCUCGCGCACCUCGUCCUCGUACAGCUGCACCGUCUCCCGCCACGACUCGGCCACCAGCAGUGCGUAGCUGUCGUGCACCUCCCGCAGGCGUGGCGGCGGCGCGGCGGGGCCGGUGGCGCGGGCGCGGAAAUGCAUGGCUGAACACCUUAGGGACCAUCAACCCCCGGUGGUGUCGUUUCCAGUGAAAACCGAACUCCGGGAUGUAGCCGGAUUGGAGAGAAGCGAGUGACGCGUGCGCCCCCUUCCUGCGGCGGAUGGAUGAACGCCUGUGAGGAACCAAGAGCUGCCAGCAACCAUGCAAGUGAGCCUGGAAGUGGAUUCACCAGCCCCAGCCAAUCCCUGAGACAACUGCAGCUGUGGCCCAGCUUGACUGCAGCUCCAUGUGAGAAUCGGAGCCCAAGCAACCCAGCUAAGCCACUCUUGGAUUCCAGACCCUCAGAAGCUGUGAGAUAAUAAAUAUUUGCUGAUUUGA